UACGUAGGGUGCAAGCGUUGUCCGGAAUUAUUGGGCGUAAAGAGCUCGUAGGCGGUUUGUUGCGUCGGCUGUGAAAUCCCGAGGCUCAACCUCGGGUCUGCAGUCGAUACGAGCAAACUAGAGUGUUGCAGGGGAGACUGGAAUUCCUGGUGUAGCGGUGAAAUGCGCAGAUAUCAGGAGGAACACCGGUGGCGAAGGCGGGUUGCUGGGCUGACACUGACGCUGAAGCGCGAAAGCUAGGGGAGCGAACGGG
rnacentral:rRNA from 1 species